ACCUAUUCACACGGAUGUCUGUGUGUAAACCAAUUCACACAGAUUUCAGUGUCAGAGUUAAGAUUCUUUCUCACCUAUUCACACAGAUGUCUGUGUGUAAACCAAUUCACACAGAUUUCAAUGGCAGCGUUACAAUUCUUUCUCACCUAUUCACACGGACAUCUAUUACAAAAGCUUUUUUCAUACAAACAUCUGUGUCUAAAUGAAAUACACACUGAAAUCUGUGUGAAAUUUUGAAUGACAAUUGAUAUCACCGAGUCUUUAUUUAGACAAACAUCCGUGUGCUUUGUUAAUUUAGGGCAUAGAAAAUUGUGCUGCCACUUGCUUUGGGGUAAUAAAGAGAUGAUAAAAACCCAUUAUCACAUGAGAGGCCGGUCACCUGGUUUUUGUGAAGGUGAAGGUAGUCUGAGAGAGGAAAAAUACAAGAGAGAUGGAUCUGAAAUGGGGUUCUCUUUUUAUUCUCACACCCUCGGUUUCAACAUCAAGACUUCACUUUCUGGCUUUCCUACUUGAGGCAAACUACUUUGAUUCAUAGGUAUGCAACAUGAUGAAAAGAGAAAGAACAUCGCUUCAGUACAAUUAGCAGAAUAUGAAGAGAGUCUGAAGAAGAAUUUCGAUACUUUCCAGUUUCCAUAGCAUUUGUGGGGUAGUUGCUGGGAUAGACAAAAGAUUCAGAUGGACAAAAAAAUCAGAUUGCUGAUGUAAUUUUAUUUGUUAAUUCAUUUGCAGAAUUUUUCUUUAUUUUUUGAAUGCCAUCACUCUUCCACA